ensembl:lncRNA
AACCCCCCCCCCGGCAACCCUGAGGGAGAAGCGGCUUAGAAAAUGGAUGGAUGGAUGAAUAAUUAGACAUAUCAUUCUGAUAGGUGAUCAAAUGAAAAGCUCUCGGUGAGGGGACUCAGACUUUUGGACCCCGCUCAAUGUAGCAUUUAUUUUCUUCUAGUUAUCAAAUUAUGUCUCCACAUCAGUGGCUGGAUCUACUGAGUGAAUCUGAUGUCUGAUGGAGUCUGCUAAUAGGUGAUUGGUCUAUCCAGAGAGCCUGAUUUGCAUAGACCGACUGCAGUACAGUAAGGCAGGUCUGUGAGGAGGAGAGCCGGAAGUUUCACGGCUUAAUUGAUGCCUUUCCACGUAACCAUGACAACUCGAGGAGACAGGCCGUCACUAUGGAGAUCGGAACUGAUGUCAGAGUCUCUGUCACACAUGGCUUUAGUGAGGAGGGGGGCGUUUACUGACGGGAAAGGAGCUGAGAGCUGCUGGGAGAGGAUCAGAGAUGCAACAGUGGGAAUCUCUGUUUGUUUUCUAGGUGUUUCCAAAGCAGCAGAGGCUUAACGUGAAGUAGCUGAGCGGCUGGUGUAAGUGAGCAGGAGUGUGUGGACGGUGUGUGUGGG